CACAGCUUCUAUCUUCACAAGAAUAUUUUGGGAAGUUUGGAAAAAUUCAUAAAAUUGCAAUCAAUUCCAGCACAAAUUACGCUGGCCCACAGGUAACUUUGUUAUUUAGUAAAUCAAUGUACAGUUAAAUUUGCAGGGUGCGAUAAAUCGCGUAACCAAGUACCACGUAGGUACGCGGUAAUCUCGCUAUCUGCGUACUUGUAUUUUGCUGGUACCAUAGGACCUUACCAAUCCUAAGGUAUUCAAAACCGUAUACGUAAAGGUAUAUAGGUACGUCUGACAUGUCUUGUCAUGAGACAUGACUGGGCUAAUGGAAUGUUGGAGCCAAUUCUAGUGUUUUGUGUAUGUAAUAGACAAUUCCCAUUAUAGACUAAUUAUAUUCUCGGAAAGAGCAUACUAAAAUGAGUAAAAUUGCAAAGUCUGGUUGCGAAAUGUUGUAAAAUGCGGAAAAUAUAGCCUUGCAAAGUUCGCAAAUUUAGUAGACUUUUGUAUUGCAUGCGGAAAUUGCUACCACAUCUGGGCCGAAAAUGGGUUUUUUUCCGCACGCGAUACAAAAGUAUGCAAACUUUGCAAGGCUAUAUUUUCCGUGUUUUACAACAUUUCGCGACCAAACUUUGCAAUUUUGCUCAUUUUAGUAUGCUCUUUCUAGCUGUGGUGUAGACUGGUGAUUUAUUUGCAUCUCCUUGCCUAGUUUUAAAAUUAGUUCUAACUUGUAGUUUCAGAUUACUGAAUGAAUCCCUUUCAGAAACCUGUACUUUAUGUACAUCAUUUCAAAGACUAAGUACACCUUGAUUCUUAAGUGGGUACCAGCUCAAGUACGAGGCAAUAGUCUAAUGAGUACCAGUCAGGAACGACUAAAAAUCGCGAAGUAUUACUGUCGUUCCAAUUGAAGUGUUGCUCAAAUAUUGAUUCAAUACAUUACCUCGGGCUGACCAAUUCAUUUGAUCAAGUUCCUCGAGAUAUUCAUACACUUCCUGUGAAAGAGCCAAUUCCAAGUAUUUGAUCAUUUCUGGUCACUUCCUUUCUAUUUAUGAUUGGUUAGUUGCACAAACAACAAAGGUGAUUGGUGCAUUCAAACUAUUCAACAGGAAGUUUACAAUUAUACUAGGAAGUGUGUGAAUAUCUCGAGGAACUUGAUCAAAUGAAUUGGUCAGCCCGAGGUAAUGUAUUGAAUCAAUAUUUGAGCAACACUUCAAUUGGAACGACAGAAAAUACACACCCUGAUUAAAUACAGAUUAGUUGCCUGGAAUAGACUGUGCAUGAUUCUUCAAAAUUUAAUGAUGUUAUAAUAUUCUGUAGGGGCCAAGUGCAAGUGCUUAUAUCACAUAUCAGGAUGAGGAGGUGUGUACACUACCAGCCAACUUUCUAAUGCCAUUUUUGAAACAAUUUCCCUGCAACAGCACAUUCCAG